CCAUAUGGUUGGAUUGUCAUUUAUUUUAAUCAAAAUCUUUACUCAAGUUUCUUGAUAAAAAUGCUGGUGGCUGAUGACGGCUGCCAUCAUUUUCACUAUUACAAUUAAGAUCAAUAUGUAGAACUUUUCUGCACGUACGUGAUCAACAAAUGUUCACGGAAGAGUACUCUUUUCGCAAGGGAAAACCUGAUACUGUUGGAAGCUAUUCCCUGCAACAGUCACCUCCUUCAGCAGCAAUCAAUUCGAUUAUAACCUGUGAACAUUCUGAUAAUGCCUUAAUCCUACUUAUGCUUUCAGGAAUCGAAGUUGGCCUAAAAGCACAAGUUGCAGCAGAUCCCCUUCAACCACCAGCCUUUCAUCAAACUUCAUAUGGGAUUUGCGUAAGCAUAUAGGCAGUCCAGAUUUAUAGCCACCACAGGUAUUGGCUAUCUCUUUUUCUUAGCAUUUUUUUCCCUUCCAACACACGAAAUUGGCACUUAUUCAGGAAUUAAGCUUUUAAAAACUAGCUAAAUUAUUUAAUUUUUUUAUCACAAAUAUAGAGAGAAGAAGAUUCAAAGUUGCGAAAUGCAUCAAUUGGCAGGUUAAAUCUAUCUUAUGAAAACAAGCUGAAUUUUCAAUUACGCUCAACUACAAAAGUUUCUUAAGUAUCAUAUUUAUUAUUAUUAUUGUUAAUGGCUAAUUUGAGUCUUAUUCAGCGCAUAAUACGAAAUGAGCAAUAUUUGAGUUUUGAAUAUUAAUGACUAAACAAAUAGAAAAAUUAAAAAAAAAAAAAACAAAUGUCUCAAAUUAAUCAAUUACAUGGCAACCACAUAGACACCAAAAUUCCAUUUUGGCUUUUGAUAUGUUGGAUUGGAGAGAGCAAGCUUGAAUGCCAACUGACGUAUAACAACAAAGCAUGAUAUUUCGCAUAAUAAUGAUACUGUAAAUACAAUCUUGAAAUACUUAAAAAGAGAAAAAAAAAAUUAUUAAAAAGAAAAUUUAAUUUACCAAUUGAUUUGGAAUAUAGAAUCACAAAUUAUCAUAAAAAUGAUAGAUAAAAAAGUAUUAAAAAAAAAUUAUUAACAACUCUAAUAACAAUUCGUUUGAAAAACACAUUCCAAGCGAAUUAUGAGUUCGCCUUCAUCGGUAACUCGCCUAAGGAGUAAAACUUGCCGGACACUUUUUAAAAAUAGAAAGUCUCCUAAUGAUUCAGACACGUCUAUUAUUAUUUUCUAUCUCAAUUAAUUUUGUUUUUAUCUAAUAAUUUAAAACGUGGCAGACAUAAUUUUUAUAAAUGAUAAGAUACUAUUUUAAGAGUUUAGUUAAAUUAAUUUCAAGACAUUUAUAAAACUAUGGAGAAGCUAUUCUUAUAUAAAAAUAAUACUAUUAUAACCUUUAAAAAUUAUUUUCAGAACUUNNNNNNNNNNNNNNNNNNNNNNNNNNNNNNNNNNNNNNNNNNNNNNNNNNNNNNNNNNNNNNNNNNNNNNNUUUCUUACUUUAUUAAUGGAGGACUGGCCUUAGUUACAUAUUUCCGUUUUGAAACAUGAAACUACAAAGAAAAAGAUUUUCUGUUUUGCUCUUCUUUCUUUUUGAGAUUGAUGGCGGGAAAGAAAAAUAUUUUAAAACUUCUUAAGUUGAGUAUUGAUACAUAAUUAGCUAAAUAGGAAUUCUUUAAGCUAGUAAUAACUAGCUCGCCUAUAACCUCUCCGGAUCGUCUACUAAUUCUAAUCUAUAUUAUAGACGGAUCGUCUUUUUAGUUAAUAGACAUACAUCCAUGAUGUUCGAGAAAGUAGCAUCGUGCCCUAUUAUGUCUAUUUCAGAAACCACUCCUCAUGGCUUCACCUUCAAAACAAUAUUAUAAAUAUUUCAUUACAUCUCAUUAGACAGGUAACGCAAUUAUAAUACUUUAUAUACUUUAUUUAAACUUUCAUUCACAUACUAAUUUAAAUAUCGGAUCAGGUAUCACAUCUAGGAUUCCUAAUUUAUUUUAUUGCAGAUAUUUUGAAAAUCUCUAAAUCAAGAGUAUACAGUUACAGACCAAUUUCUGAAUGUAUCAAGAAGGGUUGCUGUGUUGUUGUUUGUGCAUUACUCUUGGUAUAUGUCUGUCCUUAAAGCUUGGAAAUCGUCAAGCAAAUCAGUAACAUUUCAAAACGGAAUUCAACCAAAUGUCGAACACAGAAGCACUGAUCCUGUUCAUUCACAAACAAAAGCCCACUUCAAAGUAUUCCUCGACACAAAAGAAAAUAAAGUCAUUAAAAACCUGUCCAUACUUUCUUUUAUCUAGUAUUUUAGUUUUAGCAAUUUAGGGUGUAUUAGGACAUAAAUGUUUCAUGUAAGAGUUUAAUACAGUUAGUUCUUAUAAAAUUAGUAUUGAUGAUACGUGCAUAUAUCAAUUUGAACAAGAUUUCAAGUUUAAGUCUUCAAUUCCUAAUUUGUAACUCAAAAGAAUAUAAUUACAUAUUAAAAUUGAAACACAGGACUUUCAUUCGGCUAAAAAAGAACAAAGUAUAAAUAAAUUAAAUCAUUGUAAUAUUAUUAUAGUGGCUCCUAGUUCUCUAAUUAAACAUUAUUAGUACAGAUUCUUGAAAAUUACACUAUUAUAUCUUAAUAGUAUCCCAACUCAAAUAGAAAGAAAGUCUUAUAUACCUAAUACCACUACAGCAGUAGCUUGGGGGAGAUGGCUUUCAUCAAACCGCUUCAGAUUUUGGGUUUAAAUUCUAAUAUUUCCUCAGGAAUGUUUGAAGACUCGAUUUGGUUGAGUUUUUCUUGGCUCCAACAUUGGUGUGUGCAUUGAGGAGCUUGGAUACGAUGAAAAGAGUCCGUAUAAUCACACCCAACCACAGUAGUUAUGGCUAACAUUUUUCUCUUUUUCUUUUUAUCAAAAAGAUAUUAUAUAUUUAAGACAUGAAGCAAUUUUAAAUUAAAAAGAAAAGUCUGAAUAAGUUAUAAAAUAUAAAUUAUUUAUUGCAACAUGAAAAAAUAUAAAAAGAAUCUCUCUCUCUCUCUCUCUUUCUCUCUCUCUCUCUCUAUAUAUAUAUAUAUAUAUAUAUUCUUAAUUUUAAAAUUUAAAUUUUUAAUACAUAAAAUUUUUAUAAGCUUGAUCCCGCCUUUAGACUCGUUAUGUUAUUCUACUGAACUUGUUGGCUCCACGCUCUAUUUGGGCGGAAUCCAUUUCGAGAACCUUCUUUUAUAAAUUCUUUCCAUCAAGUAAUCGCCAGCAAUCAGUUCUUGUCUUUAGACAUAUAUAUUUAAUUUUUUAUACGUAAAUUUUUUAUUUUAACACGUAUAUCUAGUUUUGACAUAUAAGAUUUAAAUUUAUAUAUAAUUUUAUAAUUUUUUAUUAACUUAUUAAUUAAUAAGAUAUAUUUCUAAUUAAAUACUGAUUAUAAUUUUAAAAAAUAACAUACUAAUCACAUAUUAUUAUUAUUAUUAUUAUUAUUAUUAUUAUUAUUAUUAUGUGAACUGAUGAAUAAUUUUUUAACCAUAAUAAUAUUAAUUAUAUACUAAAAAAUGACAUAUAAAUUAUUUUAUAUUAAAUAAUAGAUUAAAUUUUUAAUUAAAUAAAAUAUUAAUCUUUAGUAAUUUUAGAUAAUUUUUCUAAUAAUAUAUAAAUAAUAAAUUAAUAUUUAUUUAUAUAAUAAAUUUCUGAUUUUAAAAAAUAAUAUAAUAUU
rnacentral:lncRNA from 1 species